rnacentral:rRNA from 1 species
UGGCGGACGGGUGAGUAAUGUCUGGGAAACUGCCUGAUGGAGGGGGAUAACUACUGGAAACGGUAGCUAAUACCGCAUAACGUCGCAAGACCAAAGAGGGGGACCUUCGGGCCUCUUGCCAUCGGAUGUGCCCAGAUGGGAUUAGCUUGUUGGUGGGGUAACGACUCACCAAGGCGACGAUCCCUAGCUGGUCUGAGAGGAUGACCAGCCACACUGGAACUGAGACACGGUCCAGACUCCUACGGGAGGCAGCAUG